rnacentral:rRNA from 1 species
GAUUAUGGCUCAGGAUGAACGCUGGCGGCGUGCCUAAUACAUGCAAGUCGAGCGAGGUAGCUUGCUACCUAGCGGCGAACGGGUGAGUAACACGUAGGUAACCUGCCUUUGAGACUGGGAUACCCGGACGAAAGUUCGGCUAAUACCGGAUAACAACGGAGAUGGCAUCUUCUCCGCUUGAAAGGUGCGUUUGCACCACUCUUAGAUGGACCUGCGGCACAUUAGCUAGUUGGUGAGAUAACAGCCCACCAAGGCGAGGAUGUGUAGCCGACCUGAGAGGGUGACCGGCCACAAUGGGACUGAGACACGGCCCAUACUCCUACGGGAGGCAGCAGUAGGGAGUUUUCGGCAAUGGGCGAAAGCCUGACCGAGCAACGCCGCGUGAGUGAAUGAAGGUCUUCGGAUUGUAAAGCUCUGUUACGAGGGACGAAACGUACGAUCAGGAAAUGGGUCGUAUUUGACUAUACCUCGCCAGAAAGUGACGGCUAACUACGUGCCAGCCGCUGC